rnacentral:rRNA from 1 species
GACGAACCGUGCGAACGUUGUUCGGAAUCACUGGGCAUAAAGGGCGCGUAGGCGGCUUAUCAAGUCAGGGGUGAAAUCCGGCAGCUCAACUGUCGAAGUGCCCUUGAUACUGACGAGCUCGAGGGAGGUAGGGGUGUGUGGAACUUCCGGUGGAGCGGUGAAAUGCGUUGAUAUCGGAAGGAACGCCGGUGGCGAAGGCGGGUCUCUGGGCCGAAACUGACGCUGAGGAGCGAAAGCGUGGGGAGCGAACAGG